UACGUAGGGUGCGAGCGUUGUCCGGAAUUAUUGGGCGUAAAGAGCUCGUAGGUGGUUUGUCGCGUUGUCCGUGAAAACUCACAGCUCAACUGUGGGCGUGCGGGCGAUACGGGCAGACUGGAGUACUGCAGGGGAGACUGGAAUUCCUGGUGUAGCGGUGGAAUGCGCAGAUAUCAGGAGGAACACCGGUGGCGAAGGCGGGUCUCUGGGCAGUAACUGACGCUGAGGAGCGAAAGCGUGGGGAGCGAUCCGG
rnacentral:rRNA from 1 species